rnacentral:rRNA from 1 species
UACGAAGGGGGCUAGCGUUGCUCGGAAUCACUGGGCGUAAAGGGUGCGUAGGCGGGCCUUUAAGUCAGGGGUGAAAUCCUGGAGCUCAACUCCAGAACUGCCUUUGAUACUGAAGAUCUUGAGUUCGGGAGAGGUGAGUGGAACUGCGAGUGUAGAGGUGAAAUUCGUAGAUAUUCGCAAGAACACCAGUGGCGAAGGCGGCUCGCUGGCCCGAUACUGACGCUGAGGCACGAAAGCGUGGGGAGCAAACAGG